rnacentral:rRNA from 1 species
UACGCUGGCGGCACGCCUAACACAUGCAAGUCGAACGAAGUAGCAAUACUUAGUGGCAGACGGGUGAGUAACAUGUAGGUAUCUGCCCUUUGGCCUGGAAUAACACGAGGAAACUUGUGCUAAUACCGCAUGAUCUCUACGGAGCAAAGCUGGGGACCUUCGGGCCUGGCGCUUUUGGAGGAGCCUAUGUCUGAUUAGCUUGUUGGUGAGGUAACGGCUCACCAAGGCGACGAUCAGUAACUGGUCUGAGAGGACGACCAGUCACACCGGAACUGAGACACGGUCCGGACUCCUACGGGAGGCAGCAGUGGGGAAUAUUGGACAAUGGGCGAAAGCCUGAUCCAGCAAUGCCGCGUGUGUGAAGAAGGCCUUCGGGUUGUAAAGCACUUUAGGAUGGAAAGAAAAAACUUCAGUUAAUAGCUGAAGUCUUGACGGUACCAUCAGAAUAAGCACCGGCUAA